rnacentral:rRNA from 1 species
AGUGGACGCUGGCGGUAGGCCUAACACAUGCAAGUCGAACGGCAGCACAGUAAGAGCUUGCUCUUACGGGUGGCGAGUGGCGGACGGGUGUGGAAUACAUCGGAAUCUACUUUUUCGUGGGGGAUAACGUAGGGAAACUUACGCUAAUACCGCAUACGACCUACGGGUGAAAGCAGGGGAUCUUCGGACCUUGCGCGAUUGAAUGAGCCGAUGUCGGAUUAGCUAGUUGGCGGGGUAAAGGCCCACCAAGGCGACGAUCCGUAGCUGGUCUGAGAGGAUGAUCAGCCACACUGGAACUGAGACACGGUCCAGACUCCUACGGGAGGCAGCAGUGGGGAAUAUUGGACAAUGGGCGCAAGCCUGAUCCAGCCAUACCGCGUGGGUGAAGAAGGCCUUCGGGUUGUAAAGCCCUUUUGUUGGGAAAGAAAAGCAGCAGGUUAAUACCCCGCUGUUCUGACGGUACCCAAAGAAUAAGCACCGGCUAACUUCGUG